AUUGAACGCUGGCGGCAGGCCUAACCCAUGCAAGUCGCACGAGUGGCGGACGGGUGAGUAAUGUCUGGGAAACUGCCCGCUGGAGGGGGAUAACUACGGGAAACGGUAGCUAAUACCGCAUACCAUCGGAUGUUCCCAGAUGAGAUUAGCUAGUGGGUGGGGAAAUGGCUCACCUAAGCGACGAUCCCUAGCUGGUCUGAGAGGAGGACCCGCCACACUGGAACUGAGACACGGUCCAGCCUCCUACGGGAGGCAGCAGGGGGGAAUAUUGCACAAUGGGCGCAAGCCUGAUGCAGCCAUGCCGCGUGUAUGAAGAAGGCCUUCGGGUUGUAAAGUACUUGCAGCGAGGAGGCGUUACUCGCAGAAGAAGCACCGGCGAACUCCGUGCCAGCAGCCGCGGUAAUAC
rnacentral:rRNA from 1 species